AGUGUUCCUAAAGGCAAUGAUCUAUGUAUGGACAGGUGUCUGUUGGUCUCAUCUCCUACUACAGGGAGGAAACAGCCCCAGCAUAGCUGAUAUGGCUUCUUCUCCUCCCAUCUAGAGGAAGAUGGAGUUUUGAGCCUGUUCUUCCUGGGGAGAACGUGACACUGUAUUGCGACAUAUGGAGUGAUCUUUUCCAAAAUGUCACCCACUUGAAAUUUUCAAUAUUCUCAAGCCCUUCUUUUAAUGUGGAAUGGUAACCAAAGGACCUUCUACCAAGAACAAAAUAUCAACCUGAUAGUCCUGAUUCUUCCUACAAGGUGAGGAAACAGACACUGAGCUUACUUUUCAUCCCCACGCCCUUACAGCUAGUGAGCGGCAAAGCUGAGAUUCAACUGAGGACCUCUAACUCCAGAGCCCUUGCUGUUAACCACUGCUGUCACUGAAGUACCUGAUGCUUAUCAAAGUCAAG